rnacentral:lncRNA from 1 species
AUGGUACAUCACCUGAGUUGUGGGGUAAAUGUAGAGAGUGUCAAUCAAAGGCAGAGCUCAGAGCUGGGAAGGAGCUCUAGAUGGCGGCUGUGCCUUAGAGAGAGCGCGCUCAGCUCCGUGCCUUCCCCAACACUUUACGCAACUUUCCCUAACUUUCGGGCAGCCUCAGGGGGCCCCCACAGCCCCUUGCCUCUCCUAGGCACUAAUCGGGGGCCGAGCGGACCUUUUUCGGGCAGAAAAGCAGCUUUUGAGGGCUCCCUUUUCGUGCCUUGCUGGAAAGAAGAAGCCGUGGAGAGAGCCCAGCGUAUUUUUGGAAUUAGAAUAUAUAUUUUUUUCCAUUAUCUGAAAUUCGUAUUUUAUCAUUCUGAGUCUAAAUAUUUUGGAUCUAAUGUUUUUCCACUACCCGAAACUAAUAUCGACUUGGUCCUGGUGGCGGUGCAUGGAUCAGUAAAUACCUGGGCACAGGACUUCAAAGCAAACAGACACCCCUGGCCCCCUCUUAAUAUUUAA